ACUUACAAUGUUCCUCAAUUACCUUAUGAUCCGUUAGUCAAUGUUCAGCUCUUACCGAGUUCAUAAAUCAUCUGAGCCAAUCUCCCCAACCCGCAGACCGCCCCCCAAGUCCUCUUUAGCCCUCUCUGGAAAUCAGUCAGCAUUUACGUACACAUCACAUUUAAGUAUACACUGCUGAACCCUACAGGCAGAAAUUCAUUUCUUUCACAAAUAUUUACAGAAUUCCUACCACGUGCAUGGCACUAGAAUGAAUGCUAGGGAUAGAAGCCCAAACUCCAUUUCCGUAAGGACUAGAAUCUCAUUCCUGCCCUCCAAGAGCUUACAAUGUAACACUGUGCUAAGAGGCUCUGAACCUACAUAUGUAACUUUUAAUUAUACCAUGCUGACUUAAUAGCAUGGCAGGUGAUCACCCUAGAUGUUAAUACAAACUUUACAUUCCUGUUGACACACUAAAAGAUCUAUCAUCUAAAAACCAAAACAGGCCAGAAUUAAAAUCUGGCUACAGACUAAAACUUCAGGAAUGAAGUUCUGUCUAAACCAUUUUCAGACUUCCAGCAUUUUUUUACUACUCACUUUUUUUCUCAGUUAUUUUAGCCAAGAGCAAAUGAGCGUUAGGCAUAACCUUAAGAGCUAGAGAAGAGCAUGUUUGUAAUUAUAAAAGGCUCAUUAUGCUCCUCUGCAUCCCCAGAUCCCCAUUCAAAGAAAGGGCUGUACAACUAACUCCGGACAACAGAUAUAAUUGGCUUGCCUUUCUUCAUUAAUAUUAAAUUUGUGGGAGACAGUCUUGGCGUUUUCACUGCAGUGAACUCGUGAAGUUGAACAAUCUCCAAAGAGAUGAAACUUUAAAAAGCCUAUUCGAAGUUAAAGUCAAAUCACACCAGGCAAUUUAACUUUGCCUCGGAUUUUCCACAACCUUACAAAAAUUACAAAGUUCUUCUAAGUUCCUCCAUCAAAAGGCCAAAUUCCUGGUUUUUUCUUUCAACAAAAUGGAUGCGUCACAAUCUUAUUUACAUCUUGCCGUUUUAACCAAGACCUCCUUGAAUCCCAAGCCUAGGUCUACACUUCCAGGCCCCUGAGAAGACCUAAGAACGAUCAAGAAGGGAUGCGCGGGUAAGCGUUGUCAUCACAACAUUAAAGAUUUCGAAACUCCCAGACCACCAGAAAGCGUAGAGUAUGGGGAAGAAAACCAAACCCAGCAACUCUAAGAGGCAAACUAGACCGGGAGGAAACAAUCGGCCCCCAGGACAAAAAGCACAUUCACACCUCUCCGUGCAACCCACUCAUCCCUUUAUACUCGCAGCGCUGCAGCCAAAGCACAAAGUUCUUUCUUUUCACCCAGAGUCUGUGCCUGUCGCGGUUAAACAUGAACGGAGGAAAAUUCCUAGUCAGAACCCAGAGGGGUAGGACGGGGCUUGGAGUGUGGGGACAACGCCAAGCAGGGAGCUGUCCAGGGGCACUGCCCGCCCGGGGUCUCCAGCUGUGAAGUUGCGCUCCUCGGGAGAUUCCUGGGGUCAGAACGAGAGGCUGGAGUCGGAGCGAGGCACAAGGGAUGCGGGAGAAGAAAGGAGUGGGGCCGAAGAGGUAGCCAAAGAGAAUGGGGCUCCGAGGCGAGAGAGAAAGGACUGGAAGGGGCAAAGGGCGGCCAAGGAGGGCGAAAAGGGGAAGCUGCCGCUGGGCGGGAGACGGCGGAGGAGCGAGACGGGGCGGGGGACCGCGGGAGGACGGGAAGGCGGGAAGGGGAGAGAGCGUGGAGCUCGGAGCUCCAGCAGGCACAGGCCGCGGCAGAUAAGGGGGCGCGGAGAGGCCCAGGCCCGGCCCAGGCAGGAGGCGUCGGGAGACGACGCGACCCAAGGCGGGCGGGCCCGGGGAAAACCGCCCGCGGCCAGACCGGCAGUGGAAGCUGAGACGCAGUGCUGCGGCCCCUCCCCGUCACGUCAGGGCACUUACCUCCUCGCAGCUGGGACGCUCCGGUGAUGCGGGGCAGUCAGUUCAGAGCGUCUCUCCCAAAUCUCGGCACCCGACUGACCCGGAUCCAAACCAGCCAAGGGGGCGGCCCGCGCCUCGGGAGUCGCGUUGCGCCUGCGCACUCCGGCAUGCACCCCUCCCCCUGCUUAUGCUCCUCCCACCCCAGUGACUCGGCAGCGCGGCAGCCGACGACUGCGCAGACGCAGGGCGGCGGCCGCGCCUCUCCAACGCCCCGCACCCGCCCCCCUCAGAAGCACGUGCGCCUUACGUAAUUUCCUGUUAUUCUUCGGUUUGCCUCCUCCCAGUGGCGUGGAUUUGCUCCCGACCCGCUUUUGGGGCGUGCCUGCUUCCUCCUCUCUGUUAGGUGAGUGAGUAGGCGUCAUUCUUCACAGUAGUCCUCUGCCUCCACCGCCCCGGGAUCUCCUUGCGCUCGGUCCUCUACGUGGAGUCACCUAUGCAGAGGAAUUCCACGGGGCGGGGGCGAGGACAGGGUGCGGGGGUCUUUAUGGCAGACAAUCCCCGGCUGAGCGCUUGGCCAGAGUUUCUGUGAUGCUAGAAUCUGGACUGCCUGCGACCUCUCCGGGACUCGGACACCAGCCCUCGCCUCCUGGUGAUCUUUUAGGUCCUGCAGAGAAGUGAAGAGAUCUCGCUCUGUCACCCAGGCUGGAGUGAAAUGGCACAAUCUUGGCUCACUGUAACCUCCGCCCCCAGGUUCGACUGAUUCUCGUGCCUCAGCCUCCUCAGUAGCUGGGAUUACAGGAUGGAGAGUAAAGGAGGUAAAGGAGGACUCUGAUGCCUCAGCCAUGCGCCUGUGUGCCGAUUCCCAUUAAGCCUGCACCAAUUUGAUUUCCAAGACUCCAGUCAAUCCUCAGAGCUCCAGGAGGGGAGGGGCAGCUUUUCCUGGUAGCUGCUGAUCACCAGCAGAGGGAGCCCUAGGACUGCAGGGCCUCUUUCCUUACCGUUGGUGAAGCCCUUCACUGUGGCUUCAAAACUGUGGAAGACCCGGGAUUUGUGGAUCACUUGCCUUUAGAAUAGAAUCAAGAAAUAAAGCUGCAGAAGAAAGAAUCUCCAUGUGAUGAGCCCCAGAGAGGCGAAGCCACUUGAGCUCGUGAGUGACAGUCAGAUGUCAAGCCCUGCUCUUUCUAAAGCGUGCUGCCUUCAGAAAAGAAGAGCCAGAAGGAUGGAAAUUACUUCAGAAAGAUGAAUACCAGCUUUGAAGGAAUAAAAGCUGACGAGGAAUUGAAGGAGUUGAGGCACGAGCUUGAACAGGGUUGCAUGUUUGGCCCUUGAUUGUAAAUGCCCAUUGCUGCACCUGUUCCUGUUACUUGGGGAGUUGCAGCAGAAGGAACAGCGGCCUGGGACUCCAGAGAACUGGGUUCCCUCUCAUCCCUCCAGGGCCACCACUUCUUGUGGGCCCUUGGGCAAGUCACUGUACUUUCUGAGUCUCAGUUUCCCCAUUUGCAGAAUGGAAAUAACUACCCCGGUCUACCAACUUAGAAGAAUUGCUUUGAGGAUCUGAUAAGGUGGUGUGGAUGAUGCUGCCUUGGGGGCUUUACAGUCUGGAGCUCAAGGGACCCCUUAAGUUGGGCUUACUUAGUAACUCCAGGGGUGGGCAGAACAGGACUCCAAUGAGGGUUUUUUUCUUUUUCCCUUUUUUUUCUUUUCCUAUCUCUUAACUUUUAUCUUUAUUAUUUUACAAUGCCCUUGUAAGAUGAAACAAGUGAUGCUGAAAUAUCUUUUUCUUUUUUAACCUUUAUUUUAGAAUUGGGGUACAUGUGCAGGUUUGUUACAUAGGUACAGUGUGGGCUGCUGAGGUUUGGGAGUACGAAUGAAUUAGUCACCCCAGUGGUGAGCAUAGUGCCCGAUAAGUGGUUUUUUCAACCCUUACUCCCAUCCCUCUCCAUUCUUGUGUUCCCCAGUGUCUGCUGUUCCCAUUUUUAUGACCAUGUGUACUCAAUGUUUAGCUCCCACUUAGAAGUAAGAACAUGCCCAGCACUUUGGGAGGCCGAGGUGGGUGGAUCAUGAGGUCAAGAGAUCGAGACCAUCUUGGCUAACAAAGUGAAACCCUGUCUCUACUAAAAACAUAAAAAAUUGGCCGGGUGUGGUGGUGGGCACCUGUAGUCCUAGCUACUCGGGAGGCUGAGACAGGAGAAUCGCCUGAACCGGGGAGGUGGAGGUUGCAGUGAGCUGAGAUUGUACCACUGCACUCCAGCCUGGGUGACAGAGUGAGACUCCAUCUCAAAAAAAUAAAAAUAAAAAAAUAAAAAGAAUGUGGUGUAUGAUUUUGUUUUCUGUUUCUAUGUUAAUCCACUUAGGAUAAUGGCCUCCAGCUACAUCCACGUUGUUACAAAAGACACGAUUUCAUUCUCUUAUAUGGCUGCCUAAUAUUCCACGGUGUAUAUGUACCAUAUUUUCUUUAUCACAUCCACUGUUGAUCCACACCUGGGUUGAUUCCAUGUCUGUGCUAUUGUGAAUAGCACUGCAGUGAACAUGUGGGUGCGUGUGUCUUUGUGGUAGAACGAUUUCUUUUCCUUUGAGUAUAAUAUAUCCAUUAAUGGGAUGGGGCUGACAUACUUAAAGUAGAAACGAAAAUUGUCAUGUGCUCCCCCACGCCCCUCCAUUCUACUCUGCAGAGAGACAGCUGCCUGCUGUUUGUGGUUUAGUACACCUCCUUCCAGGCUUUAAAUAAACUA
rnacentral:lncRNA from 10 species